UCCGGGAAACCGGGCUAAUACCGGAUGGUUGUUUGAACCGCAUGGUUCAAACAUAAAAGGUGGCUUCGGCUACCACUUACAGAUGGACCCGCGGCGCAUUAGCUAGUUGGUGAGGUAACGGCUCACCAAGGCNACGAUGCGUAGCCGACCUGAGAGGGUGAUCGGCCACACUGGGACUGAGACACGGCCCAGACUCCUACGGGAGGCAGCAGUAGGGAAUCUUCCGCAAUGGACGAAAGUCUGACGGAGCAACGCCGCGUGAGUGAUGAAGGUUUUCGGAUCGUAAAGCUCUGUUGUUAGGGAAGAACAAGUACCGUUCGAAUAGGGCGGUACCUUGACGGUACCUAACCAGAAAGCCACGGCUAACUACGUGCCAGCAGCCGCGGUAAUACGUAGGUGGCAAGCGUUGUCCGGAAUUAUUGGGCGUAAAGGGCUCGCAGGCGGUUUCUUAAGUCUGAUGUGAAAGCCCCCGGCUCAACCGGGGAGGGUCAUUGGAAACUGGGGAACUUGAGUGCAGAAGAGGAGAGUGGAAUUCCACGUGUAGCGGUGAAAUGCGUAGAGAUGUGGAGGAACACCAGUGGCGAAGGCGACUCUCUGGUCUGUAACUGACGCUGAGGAGCGAAAGCGUGGGGAGCGAACAGGAUUAGAUACCCUGGUAGUCCACGCCGUAAACGAUGAGUGCUAAGUGUUAGGGGGUUUCCGCCCC
rnacentral:rRNA from 2 species